GUUUUGUUCUCUCUCCGCAUUCGUCACUAAUCACGUAACGCCAACGUAAUGACCCUGUCAGCCAGAACUGCUUUUGCGUAUGACAGACACCGGAAGUGAGAGAAAAGUGUUUAUUACCUUUGAAAUAUCCAUAAAAUAUGGAUAUUUUUCUUACAAAAAUGCAUGUAUUCACCCCCUGGAGCGGUGUGAGGCACGUUUUAUUAUAAAUGCGCUCGCUUUAUUUGAUGACUUGUGGAAUGUUCAACUGCAACACCUGCUGACUGUAAUGAUAGAGCUUGGAAUAGCCAGGACAAUUUUUUAUAUAACUCCGACUGGAUUCAUCUGAAAGAAGAAAGUCAUAUACACCUAGGAUGCUUCGAUGAACUGGAGCAGUCUUUCACAGUCGAUGGGACUCUUCUGAACCUCUACAGUCCAGAGCUGGAGCAAACGGCCCUGUGUUUGAUGGUUAAAUUUAGCACCGUGUCAGAGACGACCGUUUAACUGAUGACAAGUGAUUAACAACCUGUACAUUACAGUCAAGAACUCAUUAUGAACUCAACUAGAUCUCCAUUAUUUCACACAGAAUCAAACGCACAGGCACCUCUGAGCUAAUUAAACACCUCUAACCCUAAAUAUGAACACCUCAGGAGCCACAUAGCAACACACUAACAACCACUCAGAACACC
ensembl:lncRNA